rnacentral:rRNA from 1 species
CCCUUAGAUGUUCUGGGCCGCACGCGUGCUACACUGAGUGGAUCAGCGGGUCAGGUUGCGCGAAAGUGUUUCCUAAUCUUGAAAUCCGCUCGUGAUGGGGAUUGACGGUUGCAAUUUUCCGUCAUGAACGAGGAAUACCUUGUAAGCGCGGGUCAUCAUCCCGCGCUGAAUACGUCCCUGCCCUUUGUACACACCGCCCGUCGCUCCUACCGAUUGAGUGGUCCGGUGAGGCUUUGGGAUCUGAGCGGAAAGAGCGUUUCGCUGUUUCUGCUCGGAAAACUCAGUCGAACCUUACCAUUUAGAGGAAGGAGAAGUCGUAACA